rnacentral:rRNA from 1 species
GACGAACGCUGGCGGCGUGCCUAAUACAUGCAAGUAGAACGCUGAAGAGAGGAGCUUGCUCUUCUUGGAUGAGUUGCGAACGGGUGAGUAACGCGUAGGUAACCUGCCUUGUAGCGGGGGAUAACUAUUGGAAACGAUAGCUAAUACCGCAUAACAAUGGAUGACCCAUGUCAUUUAUUUGAAAGGGGCAAAUGCUCCACUACAAGAUGGACCUGCGUUGUAUUAGCUAGUAGGUGAGGUAACGGCUCACCUAGGCGACGAUACAUAGCCGACCUGAGAGGGUGAUCGGCCACACUGGGACUGAGACACGGCCCAGAAUCCUACGGGAGGCAGCAGUAGGGAAUCUUCGGCAAUGGGGGCAACCCUGACCGAGCAACGCCGCGUGAGUGAAGAAGGUUUUCGGAUCGUAAAGCUCUGUUGUAAGUCAAGAACGAGUGUGAGAGUGGAAAGUUCACACUGUGACGGUAGCUUACCAGAAAGGGACGGCUAACUACGUG